UACGUAGGGUCCGAGCGUUGUCCGGAAUUACUGGGCGUAAAGAGCUCGUAGGUGGUUUGUCGCGUUGUUCGUGAAAACUCACAGCUUAACUGUGGGCGUGCGGGCGAUACGGGCAGACUAGAGUACUGCAGGGGAGACUGGAAUUCCUGGUGUAGCGGUGGAAUGCGCAGAUACCAGGAGGAACACCGGUGGCGAAGGCGGGUCUCUGGGCAGUAACUGACGCUGAGGAGCGAAAGCGUGGGGAGCGAACAGG
rnacentral:rRNA from 1 species